AAGGUGAGGUUGCGCUAUAGAGUGCUCUUGGCUCACGACUUUGUCCACCGGAGUCUCGCUCAACCGGAAAAAGAAGAGUGGAGAAAGGGUGAGUAACACGUGGGUAACCUGCCCAUCAGAAGGGGAUAACACUUGGAAACAGGUGCUAAUACCGUAUAACAAUCGAAACCGCAGGGUUUUGAUUUGAAAGGCGCUUUCGGGUGUCGCUGAUGGAUGGACCCGCGAUGCAUUAGCUAGUUGGUGAGGUAACGGCUCACCAAGGCCACGAUGCAUAGCCAACCUGAGAGGGUGAUCGGCCACAUUGGGACUGAGACACGGCCCAAACUCCUACGGGAGGCAGCAGUAGGGAAUCUUCGGCAAUGGACGAAAGUCUGACCGAGCAACGCCGCGUGAGUGAAGAAGGUUUUCGGAUCGUAAAACUCUGUUGUUAGAGAAGAACAAGGAUGAGAGUAACUGUUCAUCCCUUGACGGUAUCUAACCAGAAAGCCACGGCUAACUACGUGCCAGCAGCCGCGGUAAUACGUAGGUGGCAAGCGUUGUCCGGAUUUAUUGGGCGUAAAGCGAGCGCAGGCGGUUUCUUAAGUCUGAUGUGAAAGCCCCCGGCUCAACCGGGGAGGGUCAUUGGAAACUGGGAGACUUGAGUGCAGAAGAGGAGAGUGGAAUUCCAUGUGUAGCGGUGAAAUGCGUAGAUAUAUGGAGGAACACCAGUGGCGAAGGCGGCUCUCUGGUCUGUAACUGACGCUGAGGCUCGAAAGCGUGGGGAGCAAACAGGAUUAGAUACCCUGGUAGUCCACGCCGUAACGAUGAGUGCUAAGUGUUGGAGGGUUUCCGCCCUUCAGUGCUGCAGCUACGCAUUAAGCACUCCGCCUGGGGAGUACGACCGCAAGGUUGAAACUCAAGGAUUUGACGGGGCCCGCACAAGCGUGGAGCAUGUGGUUUAAUUCGAAGCAACGCGGAGAACCUUACCAGGUCUUGACAUCCUUUGACCACUCUGGAGAUA
rnacentral:rRNA from 1 species